UACAGAGGUCUCAAGCGUUGUUCGGAUUCAUUGGGCGUAAAGGGUGCGUAGGCGGCGUGGUAAGUCGGGUGUGAAAUCUCGGAGCUUAACUCCGAAACUGCAUUCGAUACUGCCGUGCUUGAGGACUGGAGAGGAGACUGGAAUUUACGGUGUAGCGGUGAAAUGCGUAGAUAUCGUAAGGAAGACCAGUGGCGAAGGCGGGUCUCUGGACAGUUCCUGACGCUGAGGAACGAAAGCUAGGGGAGCAAACAGG
rnacentral:rRNA from 1 species